UCAGGGGAAGUAGUUUGUAGUCACUCUCUGGGAGGUGUGUUUGGGGCUGCAGAAGUAAAUAGCCUUAACUACUCCUUGGAGGAGUGGGGAGAGCCAGAAGUCCUCAGAUGCCAGUGGCACUGAUUAGAUUCCUGAAGAGUAGGACCCGGAAGGUCCUUUGAAGAACCACACUGGAGAUUCUAUGUGCCAACCAGACUGAACAUGUGCCCUCCCCACAGAAUGACUGAGCAUGCUCCAUCCCCACACAGCUCCUACCCGCAGUGCUGACUAGACUGCGCAAGCACCAUCCGACACAGCAUGCUUAUGCAGGGCUGACUGCCUCUCCUGAGCUCUCCAAGUCUCUGCUGUUGGCUACCAUACAGCAUGGAGGAGGAGUACACAAUCAAUGAACACAGCACUGUGUACACAGAUGAAAACAAAUAUUGGUCUCCAGCCCAGCGAGCGCAUUAGUAGAAAAUAUUGUUACACAUAGCAGUCCAG